UUAUUUUUUUGCAGUUAUCUUGUUACGCAUGAUGGUAUAUUUUGACAUUGUACAGACAGAUAUACUACGCAUUAGGCAGUAUAGGAAAUAAUGAGAAAUCCGGCGAGAGGAUGAUCGUCGAUUAAUCGCCUCCAAGUGAGAGCGCCUGAACAAUGCGCGGGUCGGCCUUGCUGCCCUCACGGAAUUCCUCGAGGGUGAGACGGUCGUCAUGGUUCUUGUCCAUCUGGUCGAAGAUUUUGUCGACGCGUUUCUGCGGAGUGUUCUCGUCUUCCGGCUGUGGUGUUUGCCCCUGAAAAAAUAUAUAAAUUCCUUUUAUAUAAUAAACAUAACACAACAA